rnacentral:lncRNA from 1 species
UAAUUAUUAGGUUUGCCUUCCUUGCUUUCCCCCUUCCCCUUCCCAACUUCUCUUGAAGCUACCUAGGCUGCAUCUAUUAUUUGAAUGACUCGUACGAAGGAGAUGCUAUUUACCGGGCAAAAGCCGGGGAGUUCGUGCCCUCUACCCCCGCGAGGAAAACUACAACCCCCAUGAGGACACGGGCGAGGUUGAGGCCGGGCUCCGCCUCCUUCUCCCUGGCGCUCGGUGGACGCCUUCUCAGUGCCACGUGGCGCGGGAGCCUAGCUGAUCGCGUGCAUGACGAGGGCCAGCGUGGCUGGCUGCUUGGCCCGCAGACCUGGGCAGCGGGAAACGCGUACUUGAGAGCGCAUGGCUUCAAGCUUCUCCCUUGCGCUCAUGAUCUUAGGCUGGUCGCUUUUUCUUUUAGGCGGAACACAGUUCACACUGGGCGCCUCCAACUCUCUGGAAUUCUAGGCAACAGAUUAACACUUUGUGAAUCUCGAAGAGCUGCACUCCUGCUAAAUAUUGGAGUUAAUGCUGAUCCUUUGGAAGUCUCUGAAGGUUGCAAGAUUGUGCUGGGAGCCUCUGGCUUCAUUUGCCCUUCUCACACCUUAUUUUAAUACAAGGUCGAGCACACUGAACUACCUGGAGUAAAGGGGCAUCAUGUCUGAAACUGAUGCUUAAGUGGCUCAGAAAAAAAAUUCUGGGAGCUAGAGGGAGAGAGAGACAGAGGAGUGUGGUAAAAAGUUAUCAUUUGGGGGGUCUGCGUAAAAGGUAUAUGAGGAUUCUUUGUACGGAUUUUGCAACUUUUCUCCCAGUCUGAAAUUAUGUCAAAAUAUAAAAUUAAAAGGCAAAAUUAAAAGAAUGAGUGAGAGUUUACUAGGUAGAGAAGCAGAAGGAUCUUCUGGUAAAGGAACAGGAUAAGCAAAAGCAUCACAAGUGUGCGAGUCUUCUGUGUUGACAAACAAGCCCUGACUCUGAAUAUCCAGGACUAGCAUGGUGUGGGGAGACGGGGAUUAGAGGGAUAACGAGCAGCAUAACCCACAAAUGGACACAUUUCCCUGCUACCUAAGAUUAGAAGUAAAGACUUUAGGCCUACAUUAUACCCAGCCUCAAGAGUUGCAAGACAUAACAUGAGUUCUCAUGGCGGCUCAGUCUUUGCAUUGGCAGUGUCUCUUCAUCCAGUGACUGUGUGGAACAAUGGAAACCCGAGAAUCAUGGCUGAAAGGGACAUCUAGUCCAACUCUCUCAUUUUGCAGAAGGGACAACUAAGAUGCAAAAUGAAGAAGAGAUUUGCAAGGUCCCAGCAAAGUUCUUCAAAUUGCAAGAUGAUGGAGAGAGCACACAAUUUUCAACCAGGCUAUGAAAUCGUUCUUGAAAAUGUGGACAUUCAUAGAGAUGGCUUUUAAUUUUUCUUGGAGACUGCCUUUCCUUAUGAAAUAAUGAAAUUUAAAAAUAUGUAUUAUAAAUUAAACUAUAUACUUACUAUUCUCAUUAUAAUAAAAUCCUAGGGAUAAGGAA